GGGGACGUAGUUCAGUCGGUUAGAACGCUGCCCUGUCACGGCAGAGGUCGCGAGUUCGAGUCUCGUCGUCCCCGCCA
rnacentral:tRNA from 1 species